GGUCGGCCACUUCAUUUGCCACUAUAAGCCAGUGAGUUACAUGCUCCAUCAGGUUCAUGUGUCUCCAAGAUAUUGUCCAAUCUUCUCUUUAAUUUGAGAUUGGUAGUACCUCUGCUCGACAACAUUUUGGUGACAAUUCCAGAGUCCAAUUCCAUAUCCACUUCAAGAAAGCCCAUCUUGUAACAAGGAUCGAAACCAUAUUCUUGCAGCCACUGCCUCUGCCAUGUUAUUGUUGUUACAAUUCACAGAAACAUAGAAUGCAAUAAUGAUAACACCUUCUUUAUUUCUAAUGGUUCCACCAAUACGUGCUUUCCCAAUGUCAUGAAUAUAACCCUAUGGUCAGCAUAACACUCCCCUCUUCGUGAGGUUUCUCCCACCACACUUUUUUCCACUUUUGGAUGGGUCUAAGUCUCUCAAUACAUUACAUAAUUGGCGCCCAGGGAUGUUGAGAUUGGUAUUGGGCAUUGUCUUGGCUAAAGCCUAUUUGAUGAUUAUUUCAGUCUAGUAUAUCAUUUUAGAAGCCCCAAUGAAGAAAAUUGAACAAAGAUUUCUUUAGUUCUUUGUGUUUCUGCUUAAAUUAUUCGGUUACAAAGAAGGUGCAUUUAUACACCGUAAUAGCUGUUAGAUAGAGAGUAGAGUCCUAUCUAUAUACAAUUCAAUUGUGACAUAACUACAUACUACCUCUAGACUCUCACAUAAAGACUUUCAUGUCUUAUGUCAUACUACAACAAGUCCUCAUAUGUCUAUCAUCGCCCCUCAAGCGUAGAGGUCGAGAAAUCCAUAACUCCAAGCUUGCAUCGCAAAAAUCUGAAUUGCAUUUUAGUUAACGGCUUGGUGAGGAUGUCAGCAACUUGGUGCAACGAGGAAACAAACUUGGUGAGCAUAGCACCCUUCACAACCUUUUCUCGUACAAAAUGUUAGUCAAGCUCGACAUGUUUGGUGCGAGCAUGGAGGACUGGAUUGACUGUGAGGUGAAGAGCACUUGUGUUGUCUGUGAAGAGGACAGGAGGAGAGAGAAAAGAGAUGCCAAUGUCGCCCAAAAUGUAUGUUAUCCAGGUGAUUUCAGCUGCCAACGAUGCUAGGGACCUGUAUUCUGCCUCAGCACUGAACUUUGCCACUGUGUGCUGCUUCUUUGAGGACCAAGAGAUACAAUUUGAGCCAAGAAAGACACAUAUGCCGGCUGUAGAAUGUCGAGUGAGAGGACUGCCUCCCCAGUCUGCAUCGGAGAAGCCGACAAGGCGCAGAGAAGAUUUAGUAGUCAGUCGAAGACCAAGCUCAAUGGUUCCAGCAAUGUAUGGUAAAAUCCUCUUUACGCCAAUCCAAUGAUGCUCCAUUGGAUGCUGCAUGAACUGGCAGAGGAGGUCAACUACAUGGGCUAUUUCCGGACGUGUCAGAGUUAAAUACUGAAGAGCACCGAUGACACUUCGAUAUUCAGAAGGAUAAACAAGCUUGCUGGAUACAGGAACUUCGUGAAAACUAUGUUUUUGGGGUAUAGGUGUCUGAAAUUCCCUGGAAUUGGUCAUAUGCGUGCACUCAAGUAUGUCACGAGCGUACUUCUUUUGGCUAAGAAACAAUCCAUCCUUGUUUCUAGUAACUUCAAUACCGAGAAAAUAAUGAAGGUCACCGAGAUCCUUCAUUGCAAAGGUUGAUUUAAGUUCCUGAAUAAGAUCAUGUAGCAAUAAGGGAUUACUCCCAGUGAGUAUUACAUCAUCCACAUAAAGUAAUAAAAAAAGAGAACCCCUGUUGGAAUGCCAAACAAAUAAAGAAGGAUCAGCUUUGCUACAUAAGAAACCAACGUGCAUAAGAUAGGUGCUGAAUUUAUGAAACCAUGCUUUAGGUGCUUGUUUAAGGCCGUAAAUAGUUUUUUGUAGAUGACAAACAUAGUCCGGAAAAUCAGAAUCUUUGAAUCCUGGUGGUUGCUCCAUGAAGACAGUUUCUUUCAACUCUCCAUGAAGGAAUGCGUUCUUGACGUCGAGUUGUUUGAUUUGCCAGUGAAGAGUCGUGGCAACAGAGAGUACAAGACGAAUUGUCGUAGCCUUAACAACAGGCCUGAAAGUAUCAACAAAGUCGACACCCUCGAUCUGAUUAAAACCUUUGGCCACUAAGCACGCCUUGAAGCGUUCAACACUACCAUCUGCUUGUAGCUUGGUUUUAUACACCCAACAGGACCCAACAACAUUCAUGAAAGGUUGACGAGGGACCAAUGUCCAAAUAUGAUUUGAACGCAAAGCUUGCAUUUCAUCAUUCAUAGCUGCAACCCAGUGAGGCUUAGCCAAAGCCUCUUUGAUAUUUCGUGGCUCUUUGGAGUCUUGGCGAACUUCAAGGUGUAGUGAAUGAAAAGUACGUUUUGGAAUGGUGCCAGUCUUAGUUCUGGUAAGCAUAUGGUGUGUUUUGAGAGAAUCAACUUGGUUUAGGGGUAAGGUAGUCAACAGUUGCUCAUGAGGUAUAGGUGGAAGGUCAACAAGGUUGGGAUCUUCAGGGGAUUCUUGGUCAAGUGAUGAGGAAGAGGAAUCAAUAACAUUGGAUGUGGUUACAAUAGGUGAAUCAGAUUCAGAUGAGAGAAUAUGGGUUGUACUUGGCGAUGAAGGUGUGUGCUCAAUGGAGGUGUCAAAUUCUGCAUUUGUAGGGUGGCUUGGGGUAUGCAGCAGAUUGGGAUUUGAUUGACCAGUGGCUUCGGCCGACGCAAUGUCCAAAGGAGAUAGUAAACUAUCAUCGGUGUCUUCAUCGGCAUUGAUCACAGGCAAAUUUUCAUCCUGAAACUCUUCGUAAGAAGUGCAUUUGUAUGUACUGGAUUCUGCAUUUGAAGAAGAACCAGAGGAUACAAACGGUAUGUAUCCUCAAGGCAAGACCACAUUUGUUUAGCCGUUGAACAACCUAUGAUGAGAAACAUCGAGUCCUCGGUUAGUGUUCCUGACAGCCAACUCCUGACUAAAACGUCACGUUAUUCUUCCCAUUCGGUGAAUUUUGGAAUUAGAUUAGCCUCUCCUUCGUCAUCUUCUAUCGUUUUGUCCGGUGCUUCGUCCGUAAUAAUGCUCAUGAUUUUUAAGGUUUGCAUAAGCUGGCAAAUUUGUGUCCUCCAGACUAGGUAGUUGGUAGGUUUUAGUUUGACGGGACAAAUAGCUAUGAGCUGGUGAAGAGACGAGGCAGAAAGACAGAGACCAGCAUUGGGAGUUGCAGCCAUGGCAAAAAGAAAAAAGAAAACUUCACGAUCGAUCGACUUUUUUUUUUUUAAUUGAGCCUAUGCUCUGAUACCAUGAAGAAAAUUGAACAAAGAUUUCUUUAGUUCUUUGUAUUUCUGCUUAAAUUUUUCGGUUACAAAGAAGGUGCAUUUAUACACGGUAAUAGCUGUUAGAUAGAGAGUAGAGUCCUAUCUAUAUACAAUUCAAUUGUGACAUAACUA